rnacentral:rRNA from 1 species
UACGUAGGGUGCGAGCGUUAAUCGGAAUUCCUGGGCGUAAAGCGUGCGCCGGCGGUUUUGUAAGCCAGAUGUGAAAUCCCCGGGCUUAACCUGGGAAUGGCAUUUGGGACUGCAAGGCUCGAGUGCGGCAGAGGAGACUGGAAUUCCUGGUGUAGCAGUGAAAUGCGUAGAUAUCAGGAGGAACACCGAUGGCGAAGGCAGGUCUCUGGGCUGACACUGACGCUCAUGCACGAAAGCGUGGGGAGCAAACAGG